rnacentral:rRNA from 1 species
UACAGAGGAGCCAAGCGUUGUCCGGAUUGACUGGGCGUAAAGCGCACGCAGGCGGAUGCGCGCGUGGGGUGUGAAAUCUGGCCGCUUAACGGCCAGGCGCCAUCCCAUACGGCGCGUCUGGAGUGAUGCAGAGGUCGAUGGAAUUGCCGGUGUAGUGGUGAAAUGCGUAGAGAUCGGCAGGAACACCCAGGGGGAAACCAGUCGACUGGGCAUCUGCUGACGCUGAGGUGCGAGAGCGUGGGGAGCGAACCGG